rnacentral:rRNA from 1 species
AAUAAGAGGUCCCGCCUGCCCGGUGACUAUAAGUUUAACGGCCGCGGUAUUUUGACCGUGCAAAGGUAGCGCAAUCACUUGUCUCUUAAAUGGAGACCUGUAUGAAUGGCAUCACGAGGGCUUAACUGUCUCCUUUUUCCAGUCAAUGAAAUUGAUCUCCCCGUGCAGAAGCGGGGAUUAGCACAUAAGACGAGAAGACCCUAUGGAGCUUUAGACACCAAGGCAGACUAUGUUAAACACCCCAAAUCAAAGGUCCAAACUAAAUAUCUCCUGCCCUAAUGUCUUUGGUUGGGGCGACCAUGGGGAGAUAAACAACCCCCACGUGGAAUAGAAGCACUGCUUCCAAAACAAAGAGCUCCCGCUCUAAGUAACAAAAUUUUUGACCAACAAGAUCCGGCAAUGCCGAUCAACGGACCGAGUUACCCUAGGGAUAACAGCGCAAUCCUCUUUAAGAGCCCAUAUCGACAAGAGGGUUUACGACCUCGAUGUUGGAUCAGGACAUCCUAAUGGUGCAGCCGCUAUUAAGGGUUCGUUUGUUCAACGAUUAAAGUCCU